GUCCUUGGUUGGCUCACCGCAGAUAGGAACAGAUACAUGGCAAACUAAACCUAAGGGAAACCCUAGGUUUGUAAGCAGCCCUGUGAAUCUGGCUUCUCUCCAGCUCCCGAAGGCUGUAAACUCCUUUCUCACGAUAAGCCGUGCCCACUAGCCAGAACCCUCCCCAUUCUCAUGAUGGUUCCCAGCUGCCCAGGGCUAUUUAUUGUGUUCCAACCCUUUUAUUGGUCCACUUGCUUUUCUUUUUGAUCUCUUACGUCUGUCUCCUCCUCCUUAUACCACCCACCAUCCUAAGCUCUGUUUGAGAGGACCUAUUUUCGAAGAACAUCUUGAAGAUUUCUUUUUGAGACAUUGCCUCUGAUUUUUUUUUCCCCUGUAAUUUUUGGAUCAUAGGGCUAGGCGGCUGCAAAGCUCUAUAGAGACCCCAGCCCCACUAGUCAGCAGAUGGACAGCUGUCUCAGAGGGCAGGCUGGGCACCCCCUACCUCAUAGGGUUCAGAAUGGACUAUUUCCUGAAACAGCUUUCCCGAAGUUUCUCCGCUCCCUUUUCUCCAAAAUCCUGACAAAAGAGAUGCCUAUCUGCCUGCUUCUACACGAGUCAGCCAGACUAGUGGGACACUGUCUCCUGAGGUCAUCUGGGUGCUUUCCUGUUCCACUCCUCUUAUGUGCUGGAGUAUUGUAGUAUUGCUCAUGAUAAAAGGAUUGCGUUGGUUUUCUAGAUCCCAGCUGGAAGAGUGACUGAGAUGUCCCCUGUAGAAGGGAGUCUGUUGUCUGUGUCUGCAUUUGAGCGUGUCAAGCUGGGGAGUGUCCAUCCGUGUUUGCCUGGGUCUGAAGGGAGUGUUUCUAUGAAGCCCCCAGCGGCUUCUGCAAGUUCUGCUUGGGGUGGGGCCGCUGUCAUGGAUGAGAGGCUGCUGUGAUAAGUGCAUCCUGGCUGCGUCCGAGAGUGUGUAGACUAUACUACAGGAAAUUCUCCACCUCUCUCUCCUCUCGUGUGGAGAAUCCGGGCGACUGACCAUGUGUGCACAGGACAUUUAGCUGACUUUGAAGCCAAGUUCAUUCCUGACUGAAUCACUUCAGUGACGGACUUCAUCUCCAGUCUCCAAGGAGCACCCUUGGUGGCCACACAGUCCUCACAGUCAACCUGUCCCUCUCUGAGACAGGCUUUGCUACCCAAGUCCUGACCUCAGAACGCCCGUGACACCCCAGCAGUUGAGCUGGUCUUUCCUCCUGGAUGCCCCCGAAUCACCCUCGUCCAACCUCUGCUGGCUCUGUGUGGGCAGCAAUGUUUUCUAGCACAUCUGACGGUGAGAAAGUUGCUGGGCGUGACUGGUGCCGUGCGCUCACUGCAGAGCGGACGCUCUGAGCUGUGGUCGGGACACCUUCUGGCAGAGAUGGGAUUGGAUCCCAGGAUCGCUGGAGAGAAGAGUUCAGAACGGUGGAGCGGUAGGAAGUUGCAGGAAAGGUGGCCCUGUGACUGGCCUCUGGAAUUCAGGCUGUGGUAGUUUCAACAAGAAAUGCACCCCCCCACACACACACACUCCCCCACCCCCCACCCCCGCUGUGGGCUUGGGCAGCUGAACUCUUGGUCUCCAGUUGGUGGCGCUGUCCGGGGAGGUGGUGCGGCCUUGCCGGAGGAAGCUCAUCGCUGGAGGUUGGGCUUUGAGAGUUCGUAGCUUCACCCUGCUUCAAGAUUGCUCUCUCGGUCUUCUGUUUGCAGUUUAAGAUGUGAUCUCUCAGCCGGCUGUAAUGUCCACCCCCCCCCCCCCCCCCACACACACACAU